ACGUGGUAGGCUAGAGCUACACACCAUGUUAAAACGUUGUGCAUGCACUUAAAAUCCAUCGGGCACAAGACAAAUAUAGCACGACGACAUGCAUCAUCUGCAACCUUGCACCCGCGGGCUGCGGUAGAGGAGACGACGAGCACACCAAGGCGGCAUCGAAGGGGAAGAUUGCCGGCCGUCGACAAUAACCUGGGAGGGCAGGAAACAAAGCAGCUACGAAAGGACAA